ensembl:snRNA U6 U6 spliceosomal RNA
GUAGUUCAGUUCUUCAGUUCUUUCAUUAAGUUUUGAAUGUUAAAGAGAAAAUGAACAUGAUCUCUGCUCAAGAAUGACAAAGAAAUUUAUGAAUUGCUCCAUAUUUUU